rnacentral:lncRNA from 1 species
AAAAAUGCUACAAGAUAGCAUCCAAAAAGCUUUUCUAGACAUUGGCUUAGGCCAAGUAGUCAUGACUAAUGCCCCAAAAGCAAACGCAAAAAUAUAAAAAUAGAAUAAGAUCAAUAGGACCUAAUGAAACCGAAAAUCUUCUGCAAGGCAGAAGAAAUAUCAGCAGGGUAAACACACAACCCACAGUAUAGGAAACAGUAGUCACAAACUAGGCAUCUGACAAAGGACUAAUGUCCAGACUCCAAAGGAACUGAAAGAAAUCAGCAAGAAGAAAAGGUGCCAUUUACCACCUUCCUGACUCAUUGGCCAGAACCAAUGUUAGUGGAAUUAACAUAUGCCCCACCCCAAGUGACUUCUAAAGGGCUAACUCACCACAAGGGAGUCAGAGCAGAUCUUGGACUGAGACCUACAGGACACAGCGACUCUUAAAUAGGUGGCUCACCAGGAGAAAGGCAUAGCAGAACCUGGACUGAGACCUACGGGAGACAGGUAUUGCUUUUUCUCUUCUAAUCAUUUUAAAUUUAAUUUACCAUCUUUCAUCAAAUAGCUCCGAUCAUAUCAUUAUUUUUUCUUUUCUGUUUUGUUGGUGGUUUUAUUGGUGGAGUUUUAUUUUACUAUUUUAGAAAAGCAGUCUUUUAAAAAAGACUUUUAAAAAGUUUUAUUACUCUUUUUUUUAAAAAAAUUAUGUUUUCCCUUGAUGUGCUUAUUUCCUUUAUAAAGAUCAUCACCAUUAAAUUACUAGGAGAUACUGCGGCUGAUUUUGUCAUGCGUGAGAUAAGAAAUUUUUUGCCAAAGCAAUUAGUGAUGAGUGCAAUGGAAAAAUCCGUGAUGAUCUUUUAAGAUGAUUAACUUUCUAAUCCAGAAAAUGCUGCUGUUUGUACUGAACAAAAUAGCUUUAUUUUUAUAUGACCAGGGGUACAUAAAAUGCUUCAAAACAACACAUAAUUUGGCAAAAAUACUAUGUCUUGCCAGCCAGAAGAAUAAGUGUGGUUUUAUUUCUAUGUAUAUGUCUAGUACCAUGCCUGCACUAGAGUUGGGAAAUUUUAAAAACAUCACCUAUUGAUACAGAAGAGAAGUGCUGGGAAGGGAAGGGCAUGGUCCCUUUGAAUGAUACAGAAAAGGUGAAGGAAAGUGAUGGGUAGAGGAGGCCGGGGUCCCUGGCUAGGGCUCCAAACCUGGGCUUGUGCCCCUGGACCUAGAUGAGGACAGGCAUUUUUGUUUUCCUGACCAAAUGUUGCAUUUCCCAAGAUCACCCUGGCCCACCAUGCCCUAUCCUGUGCCUAAAAAAACCCUGGGACCCUAGCAGGCAGACACACAGGAGGUUGGACGUCGAGAGGAGCACAUCAGUGCAAGAACACAUGGGUGGCUGCCACUUCUCUCCCUUUCCUGAGAGGGAAAAACUCUCGACGCUGAGAGGAAUCCACCAACAGGCACCAGCACUCUGGCAGGCCACCGACCAAUGGAUUGACAUAGAGUUUGGCUGGGGCAGCCAGAGGAGAGCCUGGGCCGCUGAAUAACCCGACUUCAGGGGAAAACUAUUCUCCCUUUUGGCUCCCCCAUCUGCUGAGAGCUACUUCCACUCAAUAAAACCUUGCACUCAUUCUCCAAGACCACGUGUGAUUUGAUUUUUCUGGUACACCUAGGUAACAACCGCGGGAUACAGAAAGCCCUCUGUCUUUGGGUUAAGGAAUGGGUCUAAUUGAGC